rnacentral:rRNA from 1 species
AGAGUUUGAUCAUGGCUCAGGACGAACGCUGGCGGCGUGCUUAACACAUGCAAGUCGAACGGAAAGGCCCUUCGGGGUACUCGAGUGGCGAACGGGUGAGUAACACGUGGGUGAUCUGCCCUGCACUUUGGGAUAAGCCUGGGAAACUGGGUCUAAUACCGAAUAGGACCACGCGCUUCAUGGUGUGUGGUGGAAAGCUUUUGCGGUGUGGGAUGGGCCCGCGGCCUAUCAGCUUGUUGGUGGGGUAAUGGCCUACCAAGGCGACGACGGGUAGCCGGCCUGAGAGGGUGACCGGCCACACUGGGACUGAGAUACGGCCCAGACUCCUACGGGAGGCAGCAGUGGGGAAUAUUGCACAAUGGGCGCAAGCCUGAUGCAGCGACGCCGCGUGAGGGAUGACGGCCUUCGGGUUGUAAACCUCUUUCAGUAGGGACGAAGCGAAAGUGACGGUACCUACAGAAGAAGGACCGGCCAACUACGUGCCAGCAGCCGCGGUAAUACGUAGGGUCCGAGCGUUGUCCGGAAUUACUGGGCGUAAAGAGCUCGUAGGUGGUUUGUCGCGUUGUUCGUGAAAACUCACAGCUUAACUGUGGGCGUGCGGGCGAUACGGGCAGACUAGAGUACUGCAGGGGAGACUGGAAUUCCUGGUGUAGCGGUGGAAUGCGCAGAUAUCAGGAGGAACACCGGUGGCGAAGGCGAGUCUCUGGGCAGUAACUGACGCUGAGGAGCGAAAGCGUGGGUAGCGAACAGGAUUAGAUACCCUGGUAGUCCAA